CUCUAGAUGGCUGAAAGUAAGCAAUGGAAUUUUAAACCAUUUUAUAGUAUAAUAACGCAUACUUCUAGUG
rnacentral:tRNA from 1 species